rnacentral:sRNA from 1 species
GAAGGUCAACCCCGUCUCUGUCAGAGGAGAUGCCAACCAUCUCUCCUUUCUAUGAACAC